rnacentral:misc_RNA from 1 species
AAAUUCCAAAUUCCCAACUUUUUUCCUCCCCUUUCUUCCCACAGUCUCCGCCGUUCAAUCUGCACAACUUUUUCAUUGUCACACUCUGCGAUUCUUCUUUAUACCCAACUGGAAGAAAACCCUAACACACUUCUCUUUAAGGAAAAAAAGUUAAAAGUUUUCGAGUCAUUCUGUAGAAUUUUCUUGAACAAAAUGAAGUUGAAGAAACCCCAUCUGGGUUUUGUGUGUUUCUUGAUAUUAUUGUCGUUUGUCGUCUCUGUAUACUCUCAGGGCAGUGCAGCAACGGAUGCUGCAGUGAUGCAAGAGUUGAAGAAGGGAAUCAGCCCACCGAGUUCACUAAAAUGGGACGAUCCAAACCCCUGUAAAUGGGGUAAAGUUCAGUGUACUAAAGAUGGUCGUGUAACUAGGAUUCAAGUAGGGAAUCAAGGGCUAAAAGGUUCUCUACCACCGAGCAUGAAUAACUUGACGGAAUUGCAGGUGUUUGAAGUUCAAAAUAAUGCACUUACUGGGCCGAUUCCGAGUUUUGCUGGGAUGAAUUCGUUGCAGACCAUUCUUCUUGACAACAAUGGGUUCACUUCAAUUCCUGUCGACUUUUUUGAGGGUAUGACUAAUUUACAAACUGUUAACUUG